GGGAACGGGAUGGUUGAGGUUGGGAACGGGGUGGUUGAGGUUGAGGUUGGGAACGGGGUGGUUGAGGUUGAGAACGGGGUGGUUGAGGUUGAGAACGGGGUGGUUGAGGUUGAGAACGGGGUGGUUGAGGUUGGGAACAGGGUGGUUGAGGUUGGGAACGGGGUGGUUGAGGUUGUGAACGGGGUGGUUGAGGUUGGUAACGGGAUGGUUGAGGUAGGGAGGAACGGGGUGGUUGAGGUUGGGAACGGGAUGGUUGAGGUUGGGAACGGGAUGGUUGAGGUUGAGAGGGAACGGGGUGGUUGAGGUUGAGAGGGAAUGGGGUGGU
ensembl:lncRNA